UGCAUUCUAGGUAAGGAUGAUUUGGACCAGGUUGUACUUUGUUCCCAAAGAAUUCAAGGAAAACUUUGUUUGUUUGUUUAAUCUGCUUAACAUAGUAAAAUCUUUCUUUGCAAUAUCAUACAAAGUUGGCAUUACAUAUGCACUGUUGAAGAAAACAUAGUUAAUUUUUUUUUAAAGAAUGUACUCCAAAACCAUUUAAUUAGUAAAAAUGUUUAAUAAUGAUUUUUUUUUUUUUUUUUUUUGAGACGGAGUCUUGCUCUGUUGCCCAGGCUGGAGUGCAGUGGCCUGAUCUCUGCUUACUGCAAGCUCCACCUCCCAGGUUCAUGCCAUUCUCCUGCCUCAGCCUCCAGAGUAGCUGGGACUACAGGUGCCCACCACAACACCCGGAUAAUUUUUUGUAUUUUUAGUAGAGACAGGGUUUCACCGUGUGAGCCAGGAUGGUCUCAAUCUCCUGACCUCAUGAUCCACCUGCCUUGGCCUCCCAAAGUGCUGGGAUUACAGGCAUGAGCCACUGUUCCUGGCCCUUUGAGUACAUUUUCUAAGAAGUUGGUCAUGAGUUCAGAUGUCUGCCUCAAAGAGAUACUUGUGGUUUCCAUUAAAGAACCCACCUUCCCUUUCUACAGGAGUAUUUAUGGGAGAUAUGGGCCUGGAGGUUGGAAUCUAUCCUGGUUGUACUUUGCUCUACUGAAGUAAGGAGUAAACCUACAAAUACAUUCAUAUUGAAGUGUACAAAGGGGGCUCUACAAUAGGUAGGAAUUCUAUUUAGUUUUGUUGGGUAACAAAUCCUUUGAGAAGCAAAUAAUAGCUCACCUACAAAACUGGUGAUCUGUAUAAGUUGGGAUUUUUCAUGGAUCAGUUUUGCUUGGAUUGAACUAUAUAAUCACAAAUAUAUUUAUACCUAGAGAGACAGAAAGAGUGUCUGUUGAAACUGUAUCAUCUUAACGUGUCUAUAAAAGGCAAUACCUGGAAGGUGGUGGAUGCCACACAGGUUAAGCUGUCUUCCCUCUGGGAGGCAGGCUUCUGGGAACUACACAGGCAUAGAUGGUGUGGUUUUGCAGGAGUUUGGUUAGGUAACCUAGAAAAUAUUCAGUCGGGUUACAAGAGGCCCAGGAACCCACCAUUCCUCCUUGGGUUUGGGGACAGGAGGACGUUGGUUCCCCUGGGGAAGGACUGUUGAGUUAACAACAUGUGGGGUAGGGCCUCCCUAGCAGCUCUGGUGCAGAGGUCACAAAACCAGGCCCAGAGGUGGGGCACAGGAGCCAAUGUCAGCUUUCAUGUUGAUAUGGAAAGGGGGCAGGGGAGUGCUGGGUAGAGAAGGGUGGGGACCCUAGCGAGGGCUCUGCCCUCGGGCUUGUGCCCUUGGACCUUAGUGAGAACAGGCACUCCUGUUUUCAUGUCCAAAUGUUGCAUUUUCCAAGACUACUCUGGCCUGCUGUGAGCCCCAUUCUGUGUCCAUAAAAAACCCAAGACCCUAGUGGGCACAGACACAAGUGGCUGGACGUCGAGAGGAGCAGAGAAGCAGAAGAGCACACCGACAGACAUCAGCAGAUGCUGGCAGGCUUUUGACAGUGGGGAGAUGUGGAAUUCAGUUGGGGGUGGUCGGUGGAGAGUCUGGCUACUGUUUCAAUGUCUGGGUCAGAAACCUUGGUCUGGGAUGGCCCACUGAAUGGUUUGGAGAGCUCUUUCCUCUUCAGGAAGCACUAAGGUAUUGGCCAGGAGCCAAGAAGUCCUGAAGCACCUUUAUAAACCAGGAAAAAAAAAUUGGGGUGAGUAUCCCCUGGACGUGUGGAUGCCCAUCCUGAGGGAGGCUUUCAUUUGCUCAUCUCCCACUAGUGAGGCCAUGUCUUAUUGGGAUGAGAGGGUGCAGUUUCAUUUCAAGAAAUCACUCGUGGCUCUGUCUUGGUGCUGGAGAGGAAAGACAGGCAGGGUGCCCUGUGCAGAGAGGUGAUGGUGGGGCUCUGCUGUGGGUUGAAUGGUGUCCUUUCAAAUUCACAUUCAUCAAUGUGGGGAAAAGAAAGAGAGAUCAGAUUGUUACUGUGUCUGUGUAGAAAGUAGAAAUAAGAGACUCCGUUUAGUUCUGUACUAAGAAAAAUUCUUCUGCCUUGAAAUGCUGUUAAUCUGUAACCCUACCCCCAACCCUGUGCUCCCUGAGACAUGUGCUGUGUCAACUCAGGGUUAAAUGGAUUAAGGGCUGUGCAGGGUGUGCUUUGUUAAACAAAUGCUUGAAGGCAGCAGCUUGUUCAGAGUCAUCACCACUCCCUACUCUCAAGUACCCAGAGACACAAAACUGCUGAAGGCUGCAGGAACCUCUGCCUAGGAAAGCCGGGUAUUGUCCAAGAUUUCUCCCCAUGUGAUAGCCUGAGAUAUGGCCUCCUGGGAAGGGAAAGACCUGACUGUCCCCCAGCCCGACACCCGUAAACGGUCUGUGCUGAGGAUUAGUGAAAGAGGAAGGCCUCUUUGCAGUUGAGAUAAGAGGAAGGCAUCUGUCUCCUGCUUGUCCCUGGGCAAUGGAAUGUCUCGGUGUCAAGCCCGAUUGUAUAUUCCAUCUACUGAGAUAAGGGAAAACCACCUUAGGGCUGGAGGUGGGACAUGCUGGCAGCAAUACUGCUCUUUAAUGGAUUAAGAUGUUUAUGUGUAUGCACAUCAAAAGCACAGCACUUAAUUCUUUACCUUGUUUAUGAUGCAGAGUCCUUUGUUCACGUGUUUUCCUACUGACCUUCUCUCCACUAUUACCCUAUUGUCCUGCCAAGUCCCCCUCUCUGGGAAACAUCCGAUAAUGAUCAAGAAAUACUAAGGGAACUCAGAGGCUGGUGCUGGCACAGGUCCUCCGUAUGCUGAACGGUGGUCCCCUGGGCCCUAUUUUCUUUCUGUAUACUUUGUCUCUGUGUCUCUUUCUUUUCCAAGUCUCUCGUUCCACCUGACGAAAAAUGCCCACAGGUGUGGAGUGGCAACCCACCCCUUCAAUCAGGAACCUCAGAAUGUGACAUUUGGAAAUAGCGUGGUUGCAGAUGUAACGAAUUAACUUGGCGACAUACUGGAGUAAGGUGGGCCCUUAACACCCUAUGACUGGAAUCCUUAUAAGAAGAAAAGAAGAGACACAGAGGGAAGACAGCUGCGUGCAGCUGGAAUGAUGCACCUGAAGCCAAGGGAUGCUGCGCAUUGCCAGCCACCACCCAAAACUGGAAAAGGCCAGGAAGGAUUCUUCCCUAGAACCUUCAAAGGCAGCACAGCCCUGCCAACAACUGCAUUCAGACUCUGGCCUCCAGAACUGUGAGAGGAUGAAUUUCUGUCGUUUUCAGCCACCCAAGCUUAGGAAAUGGGUUGCAGCAGACUCGGAAUAAGACAGGCAGCCAGUCAGCCUCCGUGGAAUUCCCAGUUCCUGCUUGAUGACCUGUGUGUAAAGUAUUCCUGUUUAGGUCUCAAAAUCCUCUCAGAAAUAUAAUUCUCAGAAAAUCCAGGCACCCAAUCCAGCUCCCUGGCCUUCCUGAAAUCUGAAGUCAAAGGGGCUGAGCCAGCCUGCCCUGGGUGUCAGGCCUCUGAGCCCAAGCUAAGCCAUCAUAUCCCCUGUGACCCGCACAUACACAUCCAGAUGGCUGGUUCCUGCCUUAAGUGAUGACAUUCCACCACAAAAGAAGUGAAAAUGGCCUGUUCCUGCCUUAACUGAUGACAUUGUCUUGUGAAAUUCCUUCUCCUGGCUCAUCCUGGCUCAAAACCUCCCCCACUGAGUACCUUGUGACCCCCACUCUGCCCACCAGAGAACAACUCCCCCUUUGACUGUAAUUUUCCUUUACCUACCCAAAUCCUAUAAAACAGCCCCACCCCAUCUCCCUUCACUGACUCUCUUUUCAGACUCAGCCCCCCUGCACCCAGGUGAAAUAAACAGCCAUGUUGCUCACAUAAAGCCUGUUUGGUGGUCUCUUCACACGGAUGCGCAUGAAAUUUGGUGCAGUGACUGGGAUCGGGGGACCUCCCUUGGGAGAUCAAUCCCAUGUCCUCCAGUUCUUUGCUCUGUGAAAAAGAUCCACCUACAACCUCAGGUCCUCAGACCCACCAGCUCAAGGAACAUCUCACCAAUUUUAAAUUGGGCAAGCAGCCUCUUCUUACUCUCUUCUCCAACCUCUCUCACUGUCCCUCAACCACUUUCUCCUUUCCACUCUUCAAUCUCUCCCUUCUCUUAAUUUCAAUUCCUUUCAUUUUCUGGUAGAGACAAAGGAGACACAUUUUAUCUGUGGACCCAAAACUCCAGUGCAGGUCACGGACUGGGAAGGCAGCCUUCCCUUGGUGUUUAAUCAUUGCAGGGAAGCCUCUCUGAUUAUUCACCCACGUUUCAAAGGUGUCAGACCAUGCAGGGACACCUGCCUUGGUCCUUCACCCUUAGCGGCAAGUCCUGCUUUUCUGUGGGAGGGGAAAGUACCCCAACCACUUUUCUCCAUGUCUCUACCCCUUCUCCACCUUUCUGGGGGACAAGAAACCCCCAACCCCUUUUCCUUCACCCUUAGUGGCAAGACCCACUUUUCUUGGGGAGGGGCAAGUACCACAUCUUAUCUCUGCACCCGAAUCCCU
rnacentral:lncRNA from 10 species